GUGCUCGCUUCGGCAGCACAUAUACUAAAAUUGGAAUGAUACAGAGAAGAUUAGCAUGGCCCCUGCACAAGGAUGACAUGCAAAUUCGUGAAACAUUCCAUAUUUUU
rnacentral:snRNA from 1 species